GGAAGGGUGGCCGAGCGGUUUAAGGCGUCAGUCUUGAAAACUGAUGUAGGGGCAACUCUACCGAGGGUUCGAAUCCCUCCCCUUCCG
rnacentral:tRNA from 1 species